ACGGAGGGUGCAAGCGUUAUCCGGAUUCACUGGGUUUAAAGGGUGCGUAGGUGGGCAGGUAAGUCAGUGGUGAAAUCCUGUAGCUUAACUACAGAACUGCCAUUGAUACUAUUUGUCUUGAAUACCCUGGAGGUGAGCGGAAUAUGUCAUGUAGCGGUGAAAUGCUUAGAUAUGACAUAGAACACCAAUUGCGAAGGCAGCUCGCUACACAUAUAUUGACUCUGAGGCACGAAAGCGUGGGGAUCAAACAGGA
rnacentral:rRNA from 1 species